AGUGAACGCUGGCGGUAGGCCUAACACAUGCAAGUCGAACGGCAGCACAGUAAGAGUUUGCUCUUACGGGUGGCGAGUGGCGGACGGGUGAGGAAUACAUCGGAAUCUACUUUUUCGUGGGGGAUAACGUAGGGAAACUUACGCUAAUACCGCAUACGACCUACGGGUGAAAGCAGGGGAUCUUCGGACCUUGCGCGAUUGAAUGAGCCGAUGUCGGAUUAGCUAGUUGGCGGGGUAAAGGCCCACCAAGGCGACGAUCCGUGGCUGGUCUGAGAGGAUGAUCAGCCACACUGGAACUGAGACACGGUCCAGACUCCUACGGGAGGCAGCAGUGGGGAAUAUUGGACAAUGGGCGCAAGCCUGAUCCAGCCAUACCGCGUGGGUGAAGAAGGCCUUCGGGUUGUAAAGCCCUUUUGUUGGGAAAGAAAAGCAGCAGGUUAAUACCCCGCUGUUCUGACGGUACCCAAAGAAUAAGCACCGGCUAACUUCGUG
rnacentral:rRNA from 1 species